rnacentral:rRNA from 1 species
AGCGAACGCUGGCGGCAGGCUUAACACAUGCAAGUCGAACGCUCGUAGCAAUACGAGAGUGGCAGACGGGUGAGUAACACGUGGGAACGUACCUUUCGGUUCGGAAUAACCCGGGGAAAC